AGGGUGAGCCCGGAGAUAUUGGAAAGAUGGGAAAGGUCGGAGAUCAGGGAGAGCCCGGAUUCAUGGGACCGAUUGGAGAACCCGGGAAAGUUGGAGAAAAGGGUGACCGUGGUGAAACUGGUCCUCCAGGACAACCAGGAGUUAAGGGGGCAAUGG